CGGAGAUAGCAAAGAUUACAGCUUGGCCAUAGGCGGUAAUCGGAGCGAAACUCAAAUUAUGGUCUGCACUCGGAGAAAGUCUUGUGGAAAUAUUUUCGGACGUGGGUUCGACUCCCACCGCCUCCAUUA
rnacentral:tmRNA from 1 species